rnacentral:tRNA from 1 species
UGGGCUGUGGCUCAGUGGUAGAGCACUUGCCUGGCACGCAUAAGGCACUGGGUUCAAUCCCCAGCACCAU